AGAGCGUGCCUUUCAGGCAUCCUCUCCUAAAAACUUUCAGGCCGGUCCCGCUGGGAUCGGCCUUUUUUUAUAAUGGG
rnacentral:sRNA from 1 species